UUUGAGUUCAUUGAGAGAGAUUUGGGCUCCAAGCAAGCCGGCUUUCUCAGUUGAGAGAAGAGUUCUUAUAUAUUUUUAAAAGGACUUGAUCUGGCUUGGUGUUGAUUUACAAUCAGAGGUGUACAAUUCUUUAUAGAAAUGGGAGAAUGUUUGGUUGAUUCAUUUGGGUUCUGAUAGUAAUUCAACUGAUUCAGAAUCAAUAGUUGCAAUAUCUGCUAAUUGAUAACUACGGUGAAGCUUGUUAGCCAGUAGAUGAUUGGGUUGAUUACCAUGGAAAUAAUGGUUGAGUCUCACUCGAUGGAUGGUAAAUUCUGCUCCCUGUCGUAUCAAUAGAUUUAGUUAUGUCUUGAAUUUGAAGAGCGAGGUCGCUACCUGGUCUGAAAAAAAGUGUUGAGAAUGCUCUAAUGUUGUUGACAUUCCAUUGAUCCUAAAAAUACAUCUCUACUCACCCAGGACACCGGGCCAUGCAAAACGAACGCGGCCAUUGCUUUAAUAGUUAGGCUAUCCAUAUUACCAAAGCUUAUAUUCUUUCUACUUCUAUGGUGGAUUCGCGGCCGCAAUUUAGAUAAUGCAUUGAUAUAUAUCUAGCUAGCUAGCUUGCUCAAAUGACAACAGAGAGAACAAAGAAUAUAGCUAUUUGAUCAUGUCCGUGUGCAUGUCCAAAUAUGUCAACUUCCUCAGAGAGCCCCGUACUGCACAACGAGGAUAAAGAAGUAAAUUGCUGGUUGGGAUAGAGCGAGACUUUCUAGACAUGCCUGGUGCCCAAAUUGAUGACAUACUGCAUGUUGCGCAGCGAGAGUCGAGUGGCAACAAACGGAUUUGGUUCAGUCAGUCAUCCUGAUGAGCCCUUCCCAGCUAGUUAGUUUAUAGAUGUGGCUCGGGAGCAUGUUCAGAAUCAUUACAUUUGUAUAGGAAUAAUUGUUCAUUUUCUUUUUAGAAACAUGUUGACGUUAAUGCCAUAGCUGUACAUUUUCUGGGAAAAUCACUACAAUAAAUGUGCUUUCGCUCUCA